UGCCAUUUGAGGAAAGUGGCAAACGGGUGAGUAACACGUAAGCAAUCUGCCCUUGAGAGAGGAAUAGCCUCACGAAAGCGUGAUUAAUACCUCAUAACACUCUGGGACAAAAGUCUUCAGAGUCAAAGCCUUCGGGCGCUUGAGGAUGAGCUUGCGGCCUAUUAGCUAGUUGGUAGGGUAACUGCCUACCAAGGCUGAGAUGGGUAGCCGGCCUGAGAGGGUGUACGGUCACACUGGAACUGCGACACGGUCCAGACUCCUACGGGAGGCAGCAGUGGGGAAUUUUGCGCAAUGGGCGAAAGCCUGACGCAGCGACGCCGCGUGGAGGAUGAAGGCCUUCGGGUUGUAAACUCCUGUCAGAAGAGAAGAAUUCCCGAUUUAUCGGGUUGACGGUAUCUUCAGAGGAAGCCCCGGCCAACUACGUGCCAGCAGCCGCGGUAAAACGUAGGGGGCAAACGUUGCUCGGAAUUACUGGGCUUAAAGGGUACGCAGGUGGUUAA
rnacentral:rRNA from 1 species